CAUCUUUUCUAGUAUUUUAUUUGAAAUCUGACCUGCCCAAUGAUUAAUUAAAUGGCCGCGGUAUUUUGACCGUGCAAAGGUAGCAUAAUCAUUAGUUUAUUAAUUGUAGACUUGUAUGAAUGGUUGGACGAAAUAUUAGCUGUCUCAUAUUAAUGUAGUUUAAUUUAAAUUUUGAGUUAAAAUGCUUAAAUUUUUUUAUAGGACGAGAAGACCCUAUAGAUCUUUAUUUUUAAUAUUUAUUAUAUUUUUUGGUUUUUAUUUUUAUUAUAUUAUUAUUUAUUUUGUUGGGGUGACAUUGAUAUAUAAUUAACUAUUUAUUUUUAUUAUUCAAUUAUUUUUGUUUAUUUGACCUUUUAUUAUUGUUAUAAGAAUUAGAUACCUUAGGGAUAACAGCGUAAUUUUCUUUAAGAGUUCAUAUCGACAAGAGAGAUUGCGACCUCGAUGUUGGAUUAAGAUUAUAAUUAGGUGUAGGUGCUUAAUUGUUAAGUCUGUUCGACUUUUAAAUUCUUAC
rnacentral:rRNA from 1 species